rnacentral:rRNA from 2 species
AAAUUGAAGAGUUUGAUCAUGGCUCAGAUUGAACGCUGGCGGCAGGCCUAACACAUGCAAGUCGAACGGUAGCACAGAGAGCUUGCUCUCGGGUGACGAGUGGCGGACGGGUGAGUAAUGUCUGGGAAACUGCCUGAUGGAGGGGGAUAACUACUGGAAACGGUGGCUAAUACCGCAUAACGUCGCAAGACCAAAGAGGGGGACCUUCGGGCCUCUUGCCAUCAGAUGUGCCCAGAUGGGAUUAGCUUGUUGGUGAGGUAACGGCUCACCAAGGCGACGAUCCCUAGCUGGUCUGAGAGGAUGACCAGCCACACUGGAACUGAGACACGGUCCAGACUCCUACGGGAGGCAGCAGUGGGGAAUAUUGCACAAUGGGCGCAAGCCUGAUGCAGCCAUGCCGCGUGUAUGAAGAAGGCCUUCGGGUUGUAAAGUACUUUCAGCGGGGAGGAAGGUGUUGUGGUUAAUAACCGCAGCAAUUGACGUUACCCGCAGAAGAAGCACCGGCUAACUCCGUGCCAGCAGCCGCGGUAAUACGGAGGGUGCAAGCGUUAAUCGGAAUUACUGGGCGUAAAGCGCACGCAGGCGGUCUGUCAAGUCGGAUGUGAAAUCCCCGGGCUCAAC